UAAGACAAAACAACAGUCUACAGAAUGG
rnacentral:misc_RNA from 1 species